ACCACAGUCUGCAGAGGAAUCUUUGCUCAUUUAGCUGUUCCUAAGGCUGUCAAAGGAAAAAAAAUUCUCUCGCUGUAGGAGUGAGAGGCCAGUUGCUGGGCAAAAUGUGAGUGGAUUUGAGGUCAGAGAGCAGCGUCACUUGAGGAUGCAGGUACCCUGGACAAGCAGCUUCAGCAGUCUGCAUAAAGAAACAUGUCCGAAGUCGUAUCUGUUUUCAGCCUGGCACAGAUUCCAAAACGAGAACUCCCCAGAUGUAAUUCCUUCUAUUUCCUAUUCUGACAUUUGCUUCUACAAA